rnacentral:snRNA from 1 species
AUCAAGUUCAAAUUGACAUCCGAUAAAAUUGGAACGAUACAGAGAAGAUUAGCAUGGCCCCUGCGCAAGGAUGACACGGACAAAUUGAGAAAUGGUCCAAGAUCAA